CGGGGCGUAGCGCAGCCUGGUAGCGCACCUGC
rnacentral:sRNA from 1 species